GGAAGUGCGUGGUUCGCUGGUGCGGCCCCCGGUCUUCAAAACCGGUGCGGGGUGCGAGGAGCACGCCGGGCAGGUUCGAUUCCUGUGCACCUCCG
rnacentral:tRNA from 1 species